rnacentral:rRNA from 1 species
UGAAUACGAGACGCUAAGGCGUCGAAGUAGUGUAUGUCAUACUUCCAAGAAAAGCUUGCACUGUCAUAGAUAAAAAACGCCUGUACCAUAACCGACACAGGUGGGUAGGUAGAGUAUACUAAGGGGCGCGAGAUAACUCUCUCUAAGGAACUCGGCAAAAUAACUCCGUAACUUCGGGAGAAGGAGUGCCUUAUUCGUAAGGUUGCAAUAACAAGAUCCAAGCAACUGUUUAUCAAAAACACAGGUCUCCGCUAAGUCGUAAGACGAUGUAUGGGGGCUGACGCCUGCCCAGUGCCAGAAGGUUAAAGAAGUUGGUUAGCAAUUGCGAAGCUGAUAACUGAAGCCCUGGUGAACGGCGGCCGUAACUAUAACGGUCCUAAGGUAGCGAAAUUCCUUGUCGGGUAAGUUCCGACCCGCACGAAAGGCGUAAUGAUUUGGAUACUGUCUCGGAGAGGGGCUCGGUGAAAUAGACUUGUCUGUGAAGAUGCGGACUACCUGCACCAGGACAGAAAGACCCUAUGAAGCUUUACUGUAACUUGAAAUUGAAAUUGGACUUUAUUCGCGCAGCAUAGGUGGGAGGCGUUGAUUAUAAUCUUGCGGGAUUAUUGGAGCCAUCAGUGAGAUACCACUCUUGUAAUGUUAGAUUUCUAACUUUGAAUCAUUAUCUGGUCAAAGAACAGUUUCAGGCGGGCAGUUUGACUGGGGCGGUCGCCUCCUAAACGGUAACGGAGGCGUACAAAGGUUUCCUCUGAACGGUUAGAAAUCGUAUCUAGAGUGUAAAGGCAUAAGGAAGCUUGACUGUGAGACCUACAAGUCGAGCAGGGACGAAAGUCGGUCUUAGUGAUCUGACGGUACUGAGUGGAAAGGCCGUCACUCAACGGAUAAAAGUUACUCUAGGAUAACAGGCUGAUCUCCCCCAAGAGUUCACAUCGACGGGGAGGUUUGGCACCUCGAUGUCGGCUCAUCGCAUCCUGGGGCGGUAGUACGUCCCAAGGGUUGGGCUGUUCGCCCAUGAAAGCGUACGCGAGCUGGGUUCAGAACGUCGUGAGACAGUUCGGUCCAUAUCCGGUGUAGGCGUUAGAAUAUUGAGAGGAGCCUUCUUUAGUACGAGAGGACCGAGAAGGACAUACCUCUGGUGUACCAGUUAUCGUGCCAACGGUAAACGCUGGGUAGCUAUGUAUGGAAUGGAUAACCGCUGAAAGCAUCUAAGUGGGAAGCCCACCUCAAGAUAAGUAUUCUCA